CGCGUAGGUGGUUUGUUAAGCGAGAUGUGAAAGCCCCGGGCUUAACCUGGGAACGGCAUUUCGAACUGGCAGGCUAGAGUGUGGUAGAGGGUAGUGGAAUUUCCUGUGUAGCGGUGAAAUGCGUAGAUAUAGGAAGGAACACCAGUGGCGAAGGCGGCUACCUGGACCAACACUGACACUGAGGUGCGAAAGCGUGGGAAGCAAACA
rnacentral:rRNA from 1 species